AUUGAACGCUGGCGGCAGGCCUAACACAUGCAAGUCGAACGAGUGGCGGCAGGGUGAGUAAUGUAUGGGAAACUGCACGAUGGAGGGGGAUAAAUACUGGAAACGGUAGCUAAUACAGCAAACCAUCAGAUGUGACCAGAUGGGAUGGUCUAGUAGGUGGGGUAAUGGAUCACCUAGGCGACGAACCCUAGCUGGUCUGAGAGGAUGACCAGCCACACUGGAACGGAGACACGGUCCAGACUCAUACGGGAGGCAGCAGUGGGGAAUAGUGCACAAUGGGCGCAAGCCUGAUGCAGCCAUGCCGCGUGUAUGAAGAAGGCCUUCGGGUUGUAAAGUACUUUCAGCGGGGAGGCGUUACCCGCAGAAGAAGCACCGGCUAACUCCGUGCCAGCAGCCGCGGUAAUAC
rnacentral:rRNA from 1 species